GUUUACUGGUCUCCUGGGGAUAUCUUGGAGCAAAUAUGGAUGACUCUACAUCCAUCCAAGGGUCUUCUUUUGUCGAUUGUUACCUUGAUGAGCAGAUGCUGAAGGUGAAGGGUCGCCAGAGACUCCAUGAGAUUGAGCAGGAAGUUCAUAGAGAGCUGAGCGUGACACCAAGCCAAUGUCACCAGUCUCCAGGAGAGGUAACCAUGGAGGGGCAGCAGCUCCUGACUGACAAGGCCAAGCCAUCGGUUCCUUCCCAUGAGCCUCUUGGUUCUGCAGCUCUGAUGAGUGGCGACACAGCAGAUAUUAUCUCAGAGAUUCAGGCCCAGCCUGAGAUCAGGUCAGAUGAGAUGCUCCAGGUGGAGUUCCUCAGCCAGACCCAGGUGGAGAUUCCACAAGAGGUCAGGGAGGUCAUGGACAGCCUGCUGGACAAGGUGGCAGAUGGAGAAGCCCAGGAGAAGAAGGCUGAGGUCCUCGUGCCAAACCUGAUCCCCAAUCCUCCCUCAUCCUCAGAAGUUUAUGUCAUAAAGGUCCUGGACAGCCAGGUAGACAAGGCGAAGAAGGUUGAGGCCCUUGACCUUAGCACAUGUCCCAUACUCCAAACGGCCCUCACAGACACUGAGACCGUGACGAAGACUGCAUACAAGAUCAUGCCGAAGCAGAUUGUGGUACUUGGUUCCACCGUCAAGCAUAUCAUCACCCAGGUGCUUCUUCAAGUAGAUCCCCAAGCCUUUCAGGGGGGAGUCUAUUUGGAGACACCUGUUAUCAUCAACGAC
rnacentral:lncRNA from 1 species